AUCAAUGGCAUCCUCACUGGUUUCAAGGAGUUUAUAUAGAAAAUGCCUGCAGCAAAGCCGAUGCGUCAUUCAAGGCAGACAUUUGAGAACUUGUGUGAAUAGAAAAUGGGCGAGACCAAGCCUGGAGCGGGCACUAUGGAACUCAAAGUGGUUCCAUUCCAGUACAGUAGUAUUUGGAGACAUUGAACAGUUCAAUCUGUCGGACAUUGGGGAAGGAAUCCGAGAGGUCCAUAUCAAGGAAUGGUUUGUGAAUGUCGGGGACCAUGUGAACCAGUUUGACAGUAUCUGUGAGGUACAGAGUGACAAAGCGUCGGUGACGAUCACGAGUCGAUACGACGGCUACAUCAGGCGACUAUACUAUGAUGUGGAUGAUGUGGCACUUGUCGGGAAACCCCUGGUGGAUAUUGAACUCAGUAGUGGGUCAGCCAGUUCCAGCUCUGAGUCGGUCGACAGUGACAGCACCUCCUCGUCAGACGAUGAGUAUGGGGUUGGUCAGAAAAUGAAAUCUCAAGCGGUGCUGGCUACUCCCGCUGUACGCAGGCUGGCCAUGGAAAACAAGAUUGACUUGAGGAAUGUACCUGCCACAGGUAAAGAUGGGCGGGUCCUGAAGGAGGACAUUCUUAGCUUCAUUAAAGAUCAAGAAACACCAAAGGCCCCUAGCCCAGCUGACAAAGCUGCACCAGCUGCUCCGUCUGCUGUCCAGAAAACCCCACCCCAGAAACCCUCACCUCUACCCAUGCCAGCAAAAAGAGAGGCAACGAUUCCCGUGGGAAAAGAUCACACAGAGGUCAUCAAAGGAAUCAGGAAGGCAAUGGUGAAGACGAUGACGGAGGCCGCCCACAUUCCAACAUUCGGGUACAACGACGAGAUUGAUAUGACGCGAUUGGUAGAGCUCCGGAGGGACAUCAAGGGUGUCACCGAGAGCGCCGGUGUCCGUUUCUCCUACAUGCCCAUCAUUGUUAAGGUAUGGAAAAUUUUUAUUACUUCUCUCCUAAAGGGCUAUCAUAGUCACUGUGAAUAUAGGGAGAAUUUACUUCUCUCCAACAUGCCAAUCUUUGUGAAGGUAGAGAGAAUUUAUAUUACUUCUCUGAGUCACUUUCCUACAUGUACAUCCCCAUCAUUGUGAAGGUAGGGAGAAUUUAUAUUAUUGUAGGGAGAAAUAUAUCAUUGUUCUCUUUCUUCAACAUGACAAUUAUACAAAAAUUGUCACAUUCUUUGAAAUAAGAAAUAUUUUGAAAUUUUGUAACCUAGGUUGGACAUUAUUAUGUGUUUGCAGGCUGUUUCCCUCGCCUUGACUGAAUUUCCCAUCCUGAACUCUAUCGUGGAUGCCAACUGUGAAAACAUUACUUAUAAGGUAAAAACCAAAGCAUUACAUAGAAGGUAAGGUAAAAAUCAAAUUACCUACAAGGUACAUUUACCUGUAUAAAUCAUAAAGUGAUUUAUGCUGGUAAUGCACAAGUAAUUAAACAAAUUAUGUUAAAGGAUUAUAUUAGUUUUAAAACACAGUACACAUUGAAUGUGACACAAUGCCAUACUAAAUAUUGAUUUGAGGUACAUUCAGAGGGUUUCAUUUGGCAAAGUAGUGGUAAGUAAUGAUUUUUUUUUCUUUGUUUGCAGGCAGCACAUAAUAUUGGUAUUGCCAUGGAUACCCCAGAAGGUUUGGUAGUACCCAGCGUAAAAAACGUCCAAACUCUGAGUAUUUACGACAUUGCUGUGGAACUUAAUCGUAUGCAGACCCUCGGGGCGGCAGGAAAGCUGACCAAUGCCGAGCUGACCGGUGGGACUUUCUCUCUGUCCAACAUUGGAGUGGUACGUGGUAACCAGCAGAUAACAAGGGUUUAUUAGCACUAUAAUGUUCAGCUGUAACUACAAUGUAUAUACUGUAGAAGCAGAAAUAUUUGUUGAGGACUUAAUUUUGUUAUUUUCAUUGCCAGUAUAAAUCAACAAAUUAAUUCCAAGACGAAUUUUAAACCAAAGUAUCAAUAAAUACAGAGUUGAUACAUAAUACAUUUCAGAAAUUAUGAUAUGACAAAAUUUAAUGCCAACAAAAAUUUUAUUUCUUUUGAAGACAACGAAAAUUUUAACCCAAUGAAAAUAUGUGCUCUGCAGUAGAUGUUUUAUUAAAGAGAAAGAGUUUAACCUGUAUAUUAUAUUAAAAAUGUAUUGAUUUAUAAAUCCGUAUAACUUCUGAGUUUAUUCUAUGAAAGUUUUUAAUAUGAAUAUAUCACAAGACUUGGUCAGAUUUGUUUUCAAUAUUUUUUUGUGCUUUAAUUUCACUUAUUAUAAUAAAUAUACUUCAGAUAUAAACAAUAAUUUCUAGUAAAUCUCCCUACAAGUGACUGUCUUUUAUGAGUUUUUCAUAAUUUUUAUUUUUUGUCACGUUUUGGAAAUGUAUUUACAGAUUGGAGGGACCUAUGCCCGACCAGUGAUAUUACCCCCAGAGGUGGCUAUAGGAGCCCUCGGAAAACUUCAGGUUCGUCCCUUCCCAGCUUCUUAUUACUCUGGUUUCAUCAAUAUUUGUUAAAUACAUUUGGCUAAUUAUCAUGGAUUUCAUUGUUAAGUUUUUCUAUAAAUAUCAUCUAUUAAAAUACUUUAAAAACAAUUGAAAAAUAUUUAUUAUUGAAUAUUUAAAUGUUGGUAGCAAUUUAAGCUCAUUAAUUUAAACAUAAGCACUGUUUUGAUAUUAUUUUUUAGAGGCUACCUCGCUUUGAUGACAAAGGUAAUGUUGUCAGUAAAGAGAUCAUGUGCGUGAGUUGGUCUGCUGACCACAGAAUUAUAGAGGGCGCCACCAUGGCUCGUUUUUCAAACCUGUGGAAGUCAUACUUAGAGAACCCGGGGCUGAUGCUCCUCUACAUGCGAUGAAUUCACUGUGAUAAUCAAGGGAUUUUAGCGUCCUCGUGUUCUGUUUGCUCAUCUAUCAUGUACGUUAUGUCUUUGGAAGAUCGCGAACUGUUGCAAGUCAGUGUGGACAGUUAGUUAUCAGUAUUUGGAACCGUUGGGAAUUCUUUAUGAUAUCAAUCAUGAGAAUGUGGCUAUGUACAUCACUGCAUUGAUUUGAGUUUGCCAACAAAAAAAUGUUAGUGAUGUGAUUGACUGUGGUUUCUUGUUGGAAUGUAGUGGACUCUACUAUGUACCUACAUCAUCUGUAUGCUGUACAGCCAGUUCCUGUCACCUGGUGUGGCUAAUUACUAUAUAUUAAGUGUAUUUUGAACUGAAUCUCAUGAAAUAAGAUAUAGAAUCAUGUGUGCAUAAUUUUGAAUAAAAAUGAUUACAAAUC
rnacentral:misc_RNA from 1 species